UACGUAGGGUGCAAGCGUUGUCCGGAAUUAUUGGGCGUAAAGAGCUCGUAGGCGGCUUGUCACGUCGGGUGUGAAAGCCCGGGGCUUAACCCCGGGUCUGCAUUCGAUACGGGCUAGCUAGAGUGUGGUAGGGGAGAUCGGAAUUCCUGGUGUAGCGGUGAAAUGCGCAGAUAUCAGGAGGAACACCGGUGGCGAAGGCGGAUCGCUGGGCCAUUACUGACGCUGAGGAGCGAAAGCGUGGGGAGCGAACAGG
rnacentral:rRNA from 1 species